GGAUGGGACAAAUGCCAUUGCUCUCUAUUAUUUCCAAAGUUUUCUUGUCACAUUGAUUGGGGUAAUGGGCAGAAGAGAUAAAUUCCUUUAGAAAAAGGGAUCAACUUAUUUAUUAGUGUACCUACCUACCUAGCUACUCGAUCAAUUUCAGAAUCGAAUUAUUGUUCUUAUUCUGUGACAUUAGAUAGUUGGAUGAUGGGAUGAUAGAUUAAGACAUCAUGAUUGAACUUUCAAUUUGUCUUUCAUAG
rnacentral:misc_RNA from 1 species